UACGAAGGGGGCUAGCGUUGCUCGGAAUCACUGGGCGUAAAGCGCACGUAGGCGGAUCUUUAAGUCAGGGGUGAAAUCCCGGAGCUCAACUCCGGAACUGCCUUUGAUACUGGAGAUCUUGAGUCCGGGAGAGGUGAGUGGAACUGCGAGUGUAGAGGUGAAAUUCGUAGAUAUUCGCAAGAACACCAGUGGCGAAGGCGGCUCACUGGCCCGGUACUGACGCUGAGGCACGAAAGCGUGGGGAGCAAACAGG
rnacentral:rRNA from 1 species